rnacentral:rRNA from 1 species
GACGAACGCUGGCGGCGUGCUUAACACAUGCAAGUCGAACGGAAAGGCCCUGCUUUUGUGGGGUGCUCGAGUGGCGAACGGGUGAGUAACACGUGAGUAACCUGCCCUUGACUUUGGGAUAACUUCAGGAAACUGGGGCUAAUACCGGAUAGGAGCUCCUGCUGCAUGGUGGGGGUUGGAAAGUUUCGGCGGUUGGGGAUGGACUCGCGGGUUAGCAGCUGGUUGGUGGGGUAGUGGCUUACCCAGGCUUUGACGGGUAGCCGGCCUGAGAGGGUGGCCGGCCACCAUGGGGCGGAGAGAGGGGCCAGACGCCUACGGGAGGCAGCAGGGGGGAAGAGUGGAGAAUGGGGGGCAGCCGGAUGCAGCGACGCCGGGGGGGGGAGGAAGGCCUUCGGGUUGUAAACUCCUUUGGCUAGGGACGAAGCGUUUUGUGACGGGACCUAGAGAAGAAGCACCGGCUAACUACGUG